GACGAACGCUGGCGGCGUGCUUAACACAUGCAAGUCGAACGGAAAGGCCCUGCUUUUGUGGGGUGCUCGAGUGGCGAACGGGUGAGUAACACGUGAGUAACCUGCCCUUGACUUUGGGAUAACUUCAGGAAACUGGGGCUACUACCGGAUAGGAGCUCCUGCUGCAUGGUGGGGGUUGGAAAGUUUCGGCGGUUGGGGAUGGACUCGCGGCUUAUCAGCUUGUUGGUGGGGUAGGGGCUUACCAAGGCUUUGACGGGUAGCCGGCCUGGGAGGGUGACCGGCCACAAUGGGCCUACGGUAGGGCCCAGUCUCCAACGGGAGGCAGAAGGGGGGAAUAUUGCACAAUGGGCGGAAGCCUGAUGAAGAAACGCCGCGUGCGGGAUGACGGCCUUCGGGUUGUAAACCGCUUUCGCCUGUGACGAAGCGUGAGUGACGGUAAUGGGUAAAGAAGCACCGGCUAACUACGUG
rnacentral:rRNA from 1 species